UAUAAAUACAGUUUUACACUAUUUAUUUUCAACAUUUGACCAUUCGUUUUAUUUAAAUUUUUUUUAUGAUUACUAUUUUUAUUGUUAUUAGAUGAUAAAACAUGAAUAAUACUUUAUGUGUGACUAACUUUUUUAAAAUUUUUUAUAAGACGGAUGGUCAAAUGUUGGACACGGAUUUUCAUUGCUGCACUUAUU
rfam:Oryza nivara chromosome 10, whole genome shotgun sequence.